UCUAUGCAGGAAGAGCUGAGGUUAACAAGCCUACCCUUGUCAAGAACUUCUGGAACCUCCUUGGGAGUGCAUCACUGGGGACAGGGACUAAAAUCUGGCCGCCCGGAUUCCUCCUGAGACUCUAAGUUGCCUUGCAUCCAGCCAGCUCUUUUCUCCAGGAUCUGAAGAAUCCCUGUGAGCUGAAGCCCGAGGACUUGAUGCAAACCUCACCACUAAAGCAGACCAUGCGUGAGUCACAAGUAUCCCUUAACAAGCCACUGUCUUGGCUGUGAAGAAAGUCUGUUGAAAUGGUUGGGUCCUGCAUACUUCAGGCGCCAAGGACAAACUUUCACUUUGCACUCUGAAGGUUCACUGAAAAUCAAUUGACAUGAGGCAGAUUCAUAGGAGAGAAGGUAUGCAGAUUUAUUCACGUGCAUUGUGCGGAGAACUACAGAGUGAUUACCCCAACCCCCAAAUGGUGUUCGGAAGCUUAUAAACCAUCUUGAGGUUACAGAAAGAAUGAGGGCUUGGAGCAUGGCCAAAAAUAGGCUAUGGUGGUAAAGCAGGUUAUGUGGCAGGACAGGUUAUGGGAGGGAGACAAGAAAAGGCCUGGCUAGCAAAGGUCAUCUUGUUACAUAGACAAAAUCUAAUAGGUCGUCACCCGCAGAGAGAAUAGAUGGUAAAUGUUUCUUUCAAAUCUUUAAAGGUGUCAGACCCUCAGUUAAGCUUUCCCAAAUUGGACAAGGGAGGGCCUCAGAGAAAGCCUGGCUGUAUCAAUGCAGAUUCUCUACAGAUGCAAAUCACCUCCACAAAAGACAGCUUUGCAAGGCUACUCUUGUUUGCAAGCACUCUGAACAGCCAUCUCAAAAUACAUAAAGAAGUAUAUUUCAGGAUGAAAUAUCUUGGUUUCCUUCAAUGCUCUUAUAAAAGAGGUAACUAAGACUGUACAUAAUCACCAAGAGCAUGGCCAUCCUAGCUUGAGAGCUUCAAGAAACUCAGCGGGUGGUGCUGCAGAACUGAAAGAUUUUCUACCAUUGACUUCUUGAA
rnacentral:lncRNA from 10 species